UACGUAGGGGCUAGCGUUAUCCGGAAUUACUGGGCGUAAAGGGUGCGUAGGCGGUCUUUCAAGCCAGAAGUGAAAGGCUACGGCUCAACCGUAGUAAGCUUUUGGAACUGUGAGACUUGAGUGCAGGAGAGGAGAGUGGAAUUCCUAGUGUAGCGGUGAAAUGCGUAGAUAUUAGGAGGAACACCAGUAGCGAAGGCGGCUCUCUGGACUGUAACUGACGCUGAGGCACGAAAGCGUGGGGAGCAAACAGGAUUAGAUACCCCUGUAGUCCCU
rnacentral:rRNA from 1 species